AAAAAAACAGGGAAGAAGACUGAGGAAGAAGAAUGGUAGAAGUUUGAGAUAGUGAUACAAUAUUCCAUUUAUUUGGUCUGUGAUCAGAGAACAGGAAAAAAGGAAAAUAAAGGGAGAUUUAAUACUUGCAUAUUAGAGGGGAGACUAGAAAGAAGAAAUUACCCAAAUUUAUACCUAUUUCCAGCUCAUUUUCACAUGAACCCAACCAUUACUUAGACCAUUAAAGCAGACUAAAAUAUUAAAGGAGAGAAACAUAGACUUAGAGCUGGAAGGGGACUUUUAAGGCUAUCUACUUCAACCCCCUUGUAUUGAAGGUAAGGAAUCAGAGGCCCAGAAAUGUUACUUGUACAAGAUCACACAGUGUAUAAGGCUGGAUUUGAACCCACAUUCAGUGCCUUACCUACUAUGCCAUAGUUGAAACUCUACAUGUUCUUUUUGGGUAUCCAGAGUAUUCCAGAAGGACUAGCACCAACUCCUGCUAGGGAGUUUGUCAAGCCCUUUUCAGGAUUACCUACCUUUGGUGUCCACCUUUCACCCAACUCUCACCUGUGGCUUUAAGAAGCUCCAGCAUAAGAAGUGGCCACAUCCCCAUAAAAUGUCCUGGCAGAAGGGCUAAACCAAGAUGAGGGUAACUGACAGGCUUCAAACCUCUUGGUGAGCUAAGAUGUCUACUCCAGGCAUGUGAAGACUUACCUCCCUCAGCACAAUGGAUUGAUGAGAAAAAUUUGUUCCAGUGGUCAUGAAGGCAACUGAAAGCAGGUACUGUAGAGUGCUCAAAGACUGGUCAGUCAUUGAAGAUGACAGUCAUCUGCUGUAUUCCAGGCCAUCGCCAAUCAGCCUAUCUUUUGUCUUGCCACUGGACUCCAAUGACUGGAAGAGAGAGAGAGGCUGAUGACUGUGAGACUGCCUCACUUAAGUCCAAUUCAUGUGCAAGUUAGAAUGUCACCUUGGGAUAUCGUAGGGCUUUUUCAACAAUAUAUCUUUUCAUAGAAUCAGAAUUUACUGCAAAUGGCAGAAUUAUUUUAUAAAAGUUAUGUUAUAUAAUUGAAGGGAACUGAAGAAGGCAACAGGUCAUCAUUAAAAAAGAACAUAUAUAAAUAACUCUCACUUCUCUAAUUUAUGUUUUAAUACAUGUUCUUAAUUUAUAUUAUCAAUGAUGAAUUCUGAGUAAUGAAAAAAAAGUGAUGUUGAUGAAUUUAGAAAUAAAGUUGCGUUUUGAGUUGAGAAAAAUAUGCACUCUAUUCAACUUUUCACUCACCCAGACAUAACCAAAGAAUAACAAACUCUAAUAUCCCCCUAAAAAAUAACCCAAGUUUUCAACCAAUUUAUUCUAAUUAUUUAAGUAAAAUAAAAACUGCAAAUAAAAAAUAAACACCUUUGCCCAUAUUUAAAAAAAAAAUAUUUGUCUAAAACAUGUUGCCUAUGAAACCUUUCCUUGUUUAACCAAUGAGACUGAUUCGUCAGAAGACAGAUUUACUCUACCAAGUUGUAUCAUUUGUAAUUCUCAAAUUAAUUACUCCCUAUACCACAACUGAAAAUCUUUUCUGCAAAAGAUUCAAUCUUCUGGGCGAGAGGUAGUGAGGUAUGCAAAGAUAUUUAAGUAUAGCUCUUGGGUUCAUGUAUGCUGCUGCCAAGUCACUUUGCUGUUUUAACAGUAUUAUAGUCAUCAUUGAGAAAACUAUCCUUUUUGACAAGUAGAUUGAAGGACCAUAAUGAGGAUUUACUGUAUUAGAAUUGAGCAGGAGGUCAUAGUUUAAAAGUUGAUGCUCAUAAUUUUAAGUACUCAUACUCAUGGUCUUGGUUUUUCUAAGACCAUGUAUGAUUAUGGAUCAUUAUUCUAGAUUUAUAUUAUUCUUAUGGAACACCAUGUCAAGGCUGGCCCUACCAAACUUGCAAUCUCAUUUGAGAAUUACAGGUUCAGUGCCCAGCAAAGCAACUAUAAGGACAGUUCUGUGUGUCUUUGCUACUAAUGCUAUAUAGCUCAGAAACCCCAAGAUUGUGCUUCUUUUAAAAAUCAGCCGUUAGACACAAUUAGCUCUAAGCAAAGGCAUUCAUUGUGACAGCACACUGAACAGUAGUUACAAAGUAUUCGCCACAUGAAUGAGGAGUAGACUCUCCCACAAAUAAACACAGAAACCAUGGGGAAAAGUAUCAAAAUUAGAAUCCAAUUAAGAUGUUUCCUCUGGACACGUGUACUCCCUUGACUUGCUUUGUGAUAGGUAGCAGUACUUUCUAGAGUAGAGGGAAGAGAAAUUAUAGGAAGUUUGAUAGGAAGGAUGAAAAAGGUAAGAAGAGCUGCUGUGCCAAGGAGGAUUGAGUCAGUUAUGGGAGUUGUAAAAGGUCUGCCUUGCAGUGAGAACCCUAAAUUAAGUUUAUGUAACAUAAAUUUGUUGUAUACCUAUUUGUCACAGUUUUGUAAUUUUGUCCCUCUUUAUUUUGCAGCACAUGAGUAGGAGCAAAGACAGUAGAUAAGAGGAAUAAUGUGGGACUGUGAAUGGGCAGGGCAAGAUCAGCCUUUGGAUAAAGGACAAGGAAUUCAAGAAAAAAGAACUAUACAGUUAAACUAGGAAAGAUAGGGAAGAGAGGAGAGUGGUAAUAGGAUGAGAAAAAAAAAACUGGGGUUCAGGAUCACAGUGAUGAAAAAGGUGAGAGCAAUCUCAACAGAUUUUGAAGACUUAAGAUUUCAGAAUUCCUGAACAUAGAAGUGGAGCAUUUGUGAAUGGUGGAGAAAUGAAUAAGCUGAGGAACUGGGAAGUUAGGGUGUUUGAGAGAAUAUCAAUAUGCAUGAUGCCAACUAUGCAGACAAAAACUGAGGAGGAGAGAAUGACUUCAAACCAUUGUCUGAAAUCACUGAAAAAAGAAGAGAGUCCUGGAGUUCAGACAAAUACCUAGCAGAAUUUUGAUGGUGUGGAAAAUAUGGAUUGAGUAAACCUUAAAAGGGGAGAGAUACUGAAUAAUGGUAGUAGAGAGGAGCAAGAAAUAUUGCAUCCCGACCCCACCACACACAUGACAUACAUAUAUACAUAUACAUGUUGGCCAAGGAAUUGGGGGGAGGAGGGUUGAGGGAAGGAGAAAUGAGGGAAAGUGCAACCAGGCCUGGAAAGGGUAACCAAAGAAACUGGGAUCAAGAAGAUACCAGACUUCAUGAGAGCCUAAAGAUGAAAGGAAUAAGAAAGAAAAUAAUUUUAAAGAAAGCACAUUUAUAACCUAUAGAUUAGGCAUACCUCAGGAGAGCAUUGUGGAAGAAAUGGGUGAUUUUAAAGUGGGACAUAAGAGAUGGGGGGAGUUGUGAGAGGAAUGGAAAAAAAGAAAACAAUCAGUGAGGUACUGAGAAAGGAGUUUAAAUAAUGGCAGCCAAGAGGCCAAAAUCACUGGGAUGGAUAGAGUGUGAGGGGUGGGUGUCUGUUAUUUUGGAGGGAAUGAGUUCAGGUAGGUUUAAGUAUACCUCUGGGUUUGGCCUCAGGUCACUAGGCAGCUCAGAAGAGGGGACCAUUAUGGGGUUCCCAAUGGAAUUACUUUUCUCUCCUAAGGGAAGGCUAAGCCAGGCCAGGAGACCAUUAUUAAACAGUACUUAACUUCAUAUUUCAAUACCUUAAAGCUCUGUGUUUUCAUCAUGAUGGAUAUUGCCUCUAUAGAUGCAGAUUAUAUCUUUUUCAGUUGCUGUGGGGAAAAAAAAUCACCAUCAAAUUAGGCCUAAUAAUGUAACUAUGGUGGGCAUCAGCAACACCUGUGCAAUCACCAGGUUCAUGUUUCUAAUUAGUUAUGAUAUUGGCUAAGAUAUAUUUUCUUUACAUUGAUAGAAGCCUCAGGAACUCAAAGGUUACUCAGCACACCAGGAUAAAGUAUUAUAGUAGGAAAUAAGAGCAAAAUUAAUUCUAUUCUCCUCAUCAAAUGUAUUCUAAUUUUUAGAUAGUAUUCCUGACUGACCUAGUUCCCAGAUUUAGAGUACUACUGAUGAAAUGCAAAUAGCAGAAAUCAGAAAUGGGUUGUAAUCAAUAAAAAAGCAGAUAAUGAAAAAAAAAAAGAUUAAAUCGAGGGUAAAAUGACUUUCUUGUCUCUUUCUCAUCAGUCAGUGAAUCAAUAACCAGAGUUCAUCAAGGACCUACUAUGUGCCAUACGAUAUGCUAGAUAUGCUAGACAUAAUAGGAAUAAGAAUAUAGUUUGUUUACUUAAUCAUUAAAGCCCUGACUAGAACAUGCAAUAUUUUUCAUUCAUCUAUUUCAUUUUUUUUAAACUCUUAUCAAUGACUUCCCCAGAAUCACACAGUUAAGAAGUGUCUGAUACUAGAUUUGAACCCAGGUUCUCUAGUCUCUAGGCCUAGCUCUCUUAUCCAUCUAGCCACCUAGCUGCCUCUUUGUUCACCUCUUUCCUAAAUUAACCUACAGAACUAUUUAUGCAGAAUACAAGAAUGACUCCACUACAGGGAAAAGAUUUUUUAAAAUGAAUUUUCCUAAAAAUAGCAUACAAGUUAAACUGUUCCAAACCACAAUUCCCCUCCCACUUCAUACUAUCUAUCCUAUCACCACAUCCCAUAAGCUACAACUGUGUCCUUUUUAUGUGAUUUGUCAUUAGCUGUUACAACAUAAACCAUUCCCAUAUGGCUUCCCUUGGCUUAUAGCAGCUUGUUAGCAUCACCAGCUGACGAUGUGUCUUAGUUUCUCCACUAUUUUACUCAAGACUGAGGCAACAAGGAAUCAAGAAGGGCUCUUACAAGAUAAGAAUGAGACUAUAAAUAAGGAAAAAUGGGAUAUAUGCCUUUUAGCUGCUUUUAAACUGUGUAUUAUUUGCUAAAUAACAUACUGACUUAAUUUAUCACCAAAAGACAUUUAACCUAUUUUUUUUACCUUAAACGUUGUGUAGUUGCAUGUAAAUUUAGCAAGGGAGAUCAGGGGAGUCCUAGAUCAAAACUGUGAUAGGGAGAAAGAUCAGGGAAUUCCUGAUCCUUCUUUCUAUUACAUAAAUAAUGCCCUUUCCCCCCAGUCACGUGGAGGGAAGAAAGUAACUCUAAAAAUAUGUGUGCUUCUGAAGACUGUACAGUAGACCACACUUUGAGGUUAGAGGAGUAAUGAUGAGAACAUAUUUUUCCUCAUUCCAUAUCUAACACAGCUAUGCCUAGGUAUUAGGAUGAUAGGUGCUAAAGAAAUUGUAAAUAUCAUCGAGGGAAGCUGCUUAGUUUUUGUUAUACUGCUAUAUUGAAAUACUACUUUGUUUACAAUAUUUCAACUCCAAAAAUCCUCAUCAAUUAUUAAAUAGUUUCCUCAUUGAAUUAAGUAGGAUGGCAACAUUUUAUAAAUAGAAAAGAACAGAUAACAGGUGGAACUCAAGAUUUACUCUAAAGAUGAAAAUGCAGAAUACUGCAUUCUAUAAACAAACUGUUAGAGGACUCUGUUACAAACACUCUCCAGAAUGAUUUAUAUCCUAUAUUAGCAACAUAAAGAGAAAGAAAAAGAAUUCAAACCCCAUUCUUUUCUACCUCUUUGAAGUUUAAAGUUUCUGUUUCUUCUUACAAUGGGUGAAACUUUCCUAGUCCUUCACUUUACUGGGUUCUGCCGAAGUGGAGGGUUAUUGAAACCUGUCAAAUGUAUAUAGUCAAUUUAAUAAAUUGGAAAACCUUAAUUAAGCAUAUUGGUCUUUAGGGCACUCUGUUUAGCACCAGGGAAGAUAUAAAGUUUGGAAAAAACAUGACCCAGGGGCAGCUAGGUGGCUCAGCAACCAGGCUUAGAGACCAGAAGUCCUAGAUUCAAAUAUUACCUCAAAUACUUCCUAUUAUGUAACCCUGGACAAGUUGCUCAACCCCAGUCCUUACUCCUCUUCUGUCUUGGAACAGAUACUUAGUAUUAAUUCUAAGACAAGAAGGUAAGGGUGUUUUAAAAGACAAAAGAAAAGACACAUUCCCUAUCUUCUUAAGAAAGAGAGGACAAGUAGACAAAUGUAUGGGUAAAAGCAAUGUAUGGUAAGUAUAUAAAAAAUGUGCAUAGUACAUUGUGAUCCCCAACAGGGCUAGGGAUAGGCCAUUAUCAACAUAAAGAAUUUAGUGAAGGCGUCAUAGAAGAGUGAGCAAUACAGAGAUCUUGAUUUUUUAAAAUAUCAUUCCAGAUAGAUGGAACAAUAUGGACAAAGGCACCAAAACAGGAAAGUAUGAAGGGUAUUGGGGGAAUGACAAGGAGUUCAGUUUUGUUAGAAUACAUAUGACAUGCCAGGUAAGAGUGUGAGAUAAGCUUGGAAAAGUAAGAUGAUUACUCUAAUGGAAAGCCCCAAACACCAAUCAUAGGGGGUUGAACUUUACUAGGUAAACAAUUAGAGCAUCAUUAAAAGCACUGAGCAAUGGAGUUAUAUAAUCAAAUCUAUGCCUAAGGAUAAUAAAUCAAGCAUUGGUGCAAAGGAUAAGUUUGAAGAGAGAAAGAGAAGGGAGAUGGGAAGAACUAUUAGCGUGCCAUUUGCAAUAGUCUAGACAAGCGGUAAUGAAGACCUCUAGUUAAGGUACAAAUUGAAAGGAAAGCACCAAUGUUGUGCUAGACAGUGUGCUAAAUAUGGCGGGAAAUACAAAUGUAUAAGACAUGGUCCCUAUUAAGAACUAUCCUCAUGUUUACCCUCCUCUGUAUUGUCAUACUUGUACCUGACACUGUCUGCCUCACUUUCCUCUGUAAAAAUAAAACUAAUAAUUUCCUAAUGCUGUUGUGAAGAUAAAAUGAAAUAAUAUUUGUAAAGUGCUUUGCAGCCCUUAAAGAGCUACAAAAUGUUUGCUAGCGUUGUUAUUAUGUAGGUCCAACCUUUGAAGAAUCUACCUCUCCUACCUUAACUCCAACCAGAACAGAAAUGUUUCUCAAAAGUUAAUGUUGUGGAUAGAGUGAGCGUCCAUUGGUUAAGAGAUAUAGUCCUCAAUUGGAACUGUGGAUUGAAUCAAGGAAGAUUUUUCUUUUUAUCAACAGGGUCAGAACCCUAAAAUUCAUAAAUAGUUUCUGCCAUGCAUAGAUUGCUAUGGAAGGUUGUAUAAUCCCAAAGGGUGGAGUUGAGGAAUAGCCCUGUGCGACUUCAAGAAACAAAUGGAGAUUCAACCAUGGCUUGGAGUAAUUACUUUUGACCUCUGCUUCCUCUGUUCUUUUCUAGUUAUGAGUCAGAAGAAAUCUGGACUAAGUCUUUUCUUAUGACUUUUUCCUGUCAAAAUACAGAACAAUAAAGAAGCUGAAGAGUCUCUAUACCUCUCUGCAGAGCUUGCUGCUGGCUUCCAUGAACUGUUGUCCACAUGCCUGAGUUUGUUAGGCAGCCGCCUAGAUAAGAAACACAUGGCUGGAUUUGCUAUGGAAAUCUAGAUGUGCCGCCUAUGUAAUUUUAUUCUUCAGUGUGUGCAUGUGUAACGACUUGUGCCUGUUCAUGUUUGACUUCUUGUGUUUUUUUAAACCACUUAUUAAACAUUAGUAUCUCUUAUAGUCACAUGUUAAUAAAACUAUUUCUGUAAUUUGGUCACAGAGCUAUUUAUACAUAUCCCUUGCACCUAGUUCCAUGGUCAUUGAACAGGAACAUCUUAUAUUGCCAUUUUAUCUGGAAGAAUCAAAGUUUAAAGAGAUGAGGUGGGAUUUACUAAAGCUUUGAUGGUAGAAGCUCGAAUAGAGCCCAGGGUUCUGCUUCAGAGGCUUUAAACUUGGACCAAGUUCCCUAGAAAGUAGACAGACAUGGCCAUGAAUAUAUUAUACUCUUUGAUGUCAAAGUGUAAUAAGUUACACUGAGAAUCUACAAAAGCUCAGAAUACUUUUCCCAUAGCUGAAUCACCAGAGAAUUCUUGAAAUCUUAAUACAAAUGGAUGAUUUUUAACUUGAUGAAGUUUUGAAGAUAAUUUAGAUGAUGAAAAGUGUUUUGCUAAGACAUGUCAUUGGAAAAAAAUUUUUUUAAACCCCUUCCUUCCAUCUUCCUUCCAUCAAUACUGUGUAUUAGUUACAAGGCAGAAGAAUGGUUAGGGCAAGUCAAAUGACUUGCUCAAGGUCAUAGAGCUAGGAAGUAUCAGAAGGUAAAUUCAAACCCUGGAUUUCCCUUCUCUAGGCUUGCCUCUCAAUCCACUGAGCCACCUAGCUGCCCCAACACACACACACUGAAAAUUAAAGGGGCAAGGUCUUAAAGUAAAUUUAUCAAAUUAGAAACUCAGAUUCCAUGCAUAAUUAAGAAGAUUUUUAUCUUACUGAAUUGGUCAUUAAAUGGAUAUUUUCACCAGAAAGUUGUAAAUACAUUAGAAAAACAGAAUUUCCUCCUUUUAUAUGGACAAGAAGUAGUGGUCAAUGCUCUUGACCUUCAAUUUUUCACUUAACCCUUUUCUACCUUUAUAUUCCCAUCUGGAGCAAUACUGGCUUGUAAAGGAAGUUCCAGCUCAUGGAUCUGAAACAAUAUUAUUUUAUUACUAUUACCCCCAACAGAAAAGCCAUUCCUUCCAGCAAUAAUAUGACCCUAUCUUGAUAAACCUUUUCCAGAGAAUAUGUCUGUCAGAUUAAUGAAAGAUGGAAGUCUCAUUGGUUCAUGGAACUCUUUAAGUGAAUGAGCAGUACUGGAAUUACUAAGAAUUCUUUUUGGUGGAGAAAGAAUUUUCAGUUUUAUUUGUUUAUUUUCUUUUUACAUUACAUAUAAUUUCCAUUUUGUAAGAAGUCUCUUAUAACAAAGUAAAAGAGUUAAAUAAGACUAAUAAUUAAGUGACCUCAUCUGAAAGAACCUGCAGCGUUUCACAUCUAAAAUACACACACCCUACCUUUUUUCUUUAAUUAACAGAAAUAUAUUUUCUCUCCAUCCUAUUUCCCCUCCUACUCCAUUUUUAGGGGAGGGAAAAAAGAAGAGAAAACAAAUUUCUUAUAACAAAUAUAAACUUUCAAGAAAAGCAAUACCCCCUGUAGUUGUAAACAAAAAAAAUAUAUGUAUUAUCCUACAUCCAAAAUUCAUCACCUUUCCUUAAUGAAUGCCAUAUUUUCAUCACUGGCCCUCUGGAAUCAUGAAAAGUUAUUGUAUUGAUCAUAAUUCUAACAGCUUUGAAAGUUUGUUGUUUGUUUUUAGUGUUAUUUUCAUUGUAUAAAUUGUUCUCUUGACACUAUUCAUUUCAUUCUUCAUCAGUUUGUAAAAACCCUCAAAAUCAUUCAUUUUUAUAAUAUUAAUGUUAUAGAAUAAACUAUUUUUUUCUGAA